rnacentral:rRNA from 1 species
GACGAACGCUGGCGGCGUGCUUAACACAUGCAAGUCGAGCGGUAAGGCCCUUUCGGGGGUACACGAGCGGCGAACGGGUGAGUAACACGUGGGUGACCUGCCCUCAGCUCUGGGAUAAGCCCGGGAAACUGGGUCUAAUACCGGAUAUGACUCCAUGACGCAUGUUGUGGGGUGGAAAGCCUUGUGCGGCUGAGGAUGGGCCCGCGGCCUAUCAGCUUGUUGGUGGGGUGAUGGCCUACCAAGGCGACGACGGGUAGCCGGCCUGAGAGGGCGACCGGCCACACUGGGACUGAGACACGGCCCAGACUCCGUACGGGAGGCAGCAGGUGGGGAAUCUUGCGCAAUGGGCGAAAGCCUGACGCAGCGACGCCGCGUGAGGGAU